rnacentral:rRNA from 1 species
GGACGGGUGAGUAAUGCUUAGGAAUCUGCCUAUUAGUGGGGGACAACAUCUCGAAAGGGAUGCUAAUACCGCAUACGUCCUACGGGAGAAAGCAGGGGACCUUCGGGCCUUGCGCUAAUAGAUGAGCCUAAGUCGGAUUAGCUAGUUGGUGGGGUAAAGGCCUACCAAGGCGACGAUCUGUAGCGGGUCUGAGAGGAUGAUCCGCCACACUGGGACUGAGACACGGCCCAGACUCCUACGGGAGGCAGCAGUGGGGAAUAUUGGACAAUGGGGGGAACCCUGAUCCAGCCAUGCCGCGUGUGUGAAGAAGGCCUUUUGGUUGUAAAGCACUUUAAGCGAGGAGGAGGCUACCGAGAUUAAUACUCUUGGAUAGUGGACGUUACUCGCAGAAUAAGCACCGGCUAACUCUGUGCCAGCAGCCGCGGUAAUACAGAGGGUGCAAGCGUUAAUCGGAUUUACUGGGCGUAAAGCGCGCGUAGGUGGCCAAUUAAGUCAAAUGUGAAAUCCCCGAGCUUAACUUGGGAAUUGCAUUCGAUACUGGUUGGCUAGAGUAUGGGAGAGGAUGGUAGAAUUCCAGGUGUAG